GACGUAGGGCGCGAGCGUUGUCCGGAUUUACUGGGCGUAAAGAGCGCGCAGGCGGUCGUUCAAGUCGAGUGUGAAAGCCCCCGGCUCAACUGGGGAGGGUCACUCGAUACUGAUCGACUCGAAGGCAGAAGAGGGAAGCGGAAUUCCCGGUGUAGUGGUGAAGUGCGUAGAUAUCGGGAGGAACACCAGUGGCGAAGGCGGCUUUCUGGUCUGCUCUUGACGCUGAGGCGCGAAAGCUAGGGUAGCAAACGGG
rnacentral:rRNA from 1 species